GAUGAGCAUGCGUCCCAUUAGCUAGUUGGUAAGGUAACGGCUUACCAAGGCUACGAUGGGUAGGGGUCCUGAGAGGGAGAUCCCCCACACUGGUACUGAGACACGGACCAGACUCCUACGGGAGGCAGCAGUGAGGAAUAUUGGACAAUGGGCGCAAGCCUGAUCCAGCCAUGCCGCGUGCAGGAUGACGGUCCUAUGGAUUGUAAACUGCUUUUAUACGAGAAGAAACACUCCUUCGUGAAGGAGCUUGACGGUAUCGUAAGAAUAAGGAUCGGCUAACUCCGUGCCAGCAGCCGCGGUAAUACGGAGGAUCCAAGCGUUAUCCGGAAUCAUUGGGUUUAAAGGGUCCGUAGGCGGUUUAAUAAGUCAGUGGUGAAAGCCCAUCGCUCAACGGUGGAACGGCCAUUGAUACUGUUAAACUUGAAUUACUGGGAAGUAACUAGAAUAUGUAGUGUAGCGGUGAAAUGCUUAGAGAUUACAUGGAAAUACCAUUGCNGAGGCAGGUUACUACCAGUGGAUUGA
rnacentral:rRNA from 1 species